GCGCCCGUAGCUCAGCUGGAUAGAGCACCAGCCUCCGGAGCUGGGGGCCACAGGUUCGAAUCCUGUCGGGCGCG
rnacentral:tRNA from 1 species